GGGCGGGCGCAGGACUGCAGGCUGGGGCUCCGCUCCCCGGCGGGAGCCCGCGCGUGGUUCCCAGCGAAGUCCCCGCGCGGCUGGGCCCAGCGUGAGUAUUCUCCGCCCGCUGUCCUCCCCCUGGAGGCGGCAGCGCCCGUUUAUUUGAGGCUUCUAAUGUGAGGAAAAACACGGAAUGACAAGUGUGGGAAAGAGCAAGCACUAAAUUACUGUCAGAAAAAUAAACGGAGUAGCACAGUGCUGCUCGGUGAUUUACGGGGGCAAUUAGUCACCACCCCACGGCGCUGCUGAGGACAGCACGGCAGCAGACAAGUCAGGCCCAUGAGGAAGAAGAGGCUUUGCACUGCUCUCCAGACAACUUUUCAAACAACAAGAGAGGAUAUUUGAGCACAUUAGGUUUUGUGUCUUCAUUCUGGGUCGGCUGCCUCCAAUCCUGAGGUCAUCACUCAUCAAGAGGGGAUAAUCCCAGGGACAGCAGGAUCUGCUUCGUUACUUGGAUUUAGGAGCCAGAAACCCAUCAGGCAACUAAACAGUAACAAUGACCCGCCAUUAAACACACUGAGAGAAGAGCAUGAUGAAGAGUUUGUACAAGAAGAAGCCAGGAGCACUUGCUGACAAUGCUUACAGAGACGCAGGCUUCUAUGAGCUCUGCCUGUUGAACUGCAGUAAAAAUAGAUCUCCUUCCCCAGAGAGGCUUGGAUGUGGGCACAAUAUCAGUUCAGACGAUGGUCAAUGCAUGUACUUAAUAGAGUGAAAAGACUUUGGACUGUGAAGUCAGAUUACCUGGGUCUGAAUUGUUAUUCUUCUACUUCUUUGUAGUAUGCUUUCACCACAUUAAAAAUUGUCUGAGCCUCAA
rnacentral:lncRNA from 1 species